rnacentral:rRNA from 1 species
GACGAACGCUGGCGGCGUGCUUAACACAUGCAAGUCGAACGGAAAGGCCCUGCUUUUGUGGGGUUCUCGAGUGGCGAACGGGUGAGUAACACGUGAGUAACCUGCCCUUGACUUUGGGAUAACUUCAGGAAACUGGGGCUAAUACCGGAUAGGAUCUCCUGCUGCAUGGUGGGGGUUGGAAAGUUUCGGCGGUUGGGGAUGGACUCGCGGCUUAUCAGCUUGUUUGUGGGGUAGUGGCUUACCAAGGCUUUGACGGGUAGCCUGCCUGAGAGGGUGACCGGCGACAAUGGGACUGAGAUACGGCCCAGACGCCUACGGGAGGCAGCAGUGGGGAAUAUUGCACAAUGGGCGGAAGCCUGAUGCAGCAACGCCGCGUGCGGGAUGACGGCCUUCGGGUUGUAAACCGCUUUCGCCUGUGACGAAGCGUGAGUGACGGUAAUGGGUAAAGAAGCACCGGCUAACUACGUG